rnacentral:lncRNA from 1 species
CUGUGAGGGUGUCUCUGGAAGAUACUUGAAUCACAGGACUGAAUAAGGAAGAGCUGCCCUCAGCGUGGCCGGGCAACAUCUAAUCGGCUGAAAGCUUGGAUCGAAUGAAAAGGCAGAGGAAAGGUGAAUUUUCUUUUUAUCCUGGAGCUGGACACCCUGUUUCUCCUGCCUGUGGACAUCAGAAUUCUAGGCUCUGUGGCAUUUCAACUGUAAAACUUGCACUAGUAGCCAGCUGGUUUCUCAAGUCGUUGGCUUCAAAACUGAGAAGUACAGCAUUCUCUUCCCAGGUUCUGAAGACCUCAAAUGGACUGAGCCACACUACCAGCAUCCAGCAUCCAUGGUUCUCCAGUCUGCAGAUGGCCUAUUAUGGGACUUUUCAGUCUUCAUAAUUAUAUGAGAGAAAGAAAAUGAAAAGGAUUUGUAAACUAUAAAUCUCUAAACAGAUGGGAGGAAAGGAAUUGAUGAAACAAUAAAUUUAUUGAUGAAACAAUAAAAAUAAACAUAAAGAACCAAAGGUUUUCAAAGGCCUGUGAAGAAACACAGAAGAGUUGGGUUGAGAUUCCUGAGAGCCUUGCUGGUCGUCUUUGAAAAAGGCUAGUCUGGCCUGGUUGUCAUGACGGGAAGCUGUGCCCUCCAGCGAUCCUCCCCUGUGGUCUGAGUGUUGUGCAGAUGCUCCUUGGGUCUGCUCCAGCUGUGAUCCCCAAUGACUGUGUCUUGAGGAAAUGCCCAGGCUGCCUCAAAGACCCUUUCAUGAGCUGCCACUAGCACUGGUCUGCUUCAUCCCUUCUUUAGUGUGUCUUGGAUGCAAACUGUUUCUUCGUGCAGGGAGAGGCAGUCACCUAGAACAGAAGAAGCCCCUGGAGUCAAGAGACUUCGACUUGGGUCCCUGCACUGGCAGUGUAACCCUUGCACAUCACAUAGCCAGUCCUGGCUUCAGUUACUUUCCCCACCUGGAGACUCGGGGUCGGCCCCUCUUCUGGGCUGGGCUGUGCUUUGGCAUCAUUGAGCUUCAACUUUAAACAGAUCAGAGUGUCAAUCUUUGCUCUAACACUCAUGUGACUUUGGGCUGACUCCUCAGCCUGUUUCAGUUUUUAAAAUAUGUAUUAUAAAAUUCAUAAUGCUAAGUCACAGCAUUGUUGUAAAGAAAAAUCCUAUAUAAACAAAAUGCUUUGUCUCCUUGCUAUUUCAAGUUGUAACAGUUGCAUGGAUUUUCCACACAAUUUGGAUGGUCUGUUAGUUAGAUGGUCUGAUUUAAAAUGUAAGCUAUAUGGCAUAUGCAAGAUUCAUUUUGGGAAGUACUAAGGAGCAACUAGGAGAGAAAAGUCAUCAUCUGCCCAACCAUCUGAUAUUGAGGAAUAAAAGGUGCAUGUGCCUGCUGAGCUUAGGGACAUACCUUGUGAGUUUGCAUAAUGCAAAAACAGAAAACAGCAACGGCAAAACCCAACUGUGUAGUAUCAAAUAUGAACCCCAUCCCCACCCCACCACCUAAAAUUCUCCAGGGCAAACUCUCCUAAAAGCAGACAUUGAUUUGUGAUUAUAUUGCCUGGCAUAUGGGCCUCUCUCCAUGGCAUUUCCAAGGGUGAGAAGUGACUAUAAGGGCAAACACACACUGAGCAUUUACUGUGCUCCAAACACUGUACUAAGCACUUUACAUGUUAUAUCUCUUUUACUCUUCACCAUGCCAGAAGGUGGUUAUUGUCAUUACUCAUCCUAUGCAGAGAAGGAAGUAGCAGCCAGGGUUUAUUUGCCUAUCCCUGGGGUGAACAGGUAGUAGGUUAAAUAAGUCUCUAAGCACAGUUAGUUACACAAG